ACGCUAAUACCGCAUACGAUCUAAGGAUGAAAGCGGGGGAUUCGCAAGAACCUCGCGCGAUUGGAGCGGCUGAUAUCAGAUUAGGUUGUUGGUGAGGUAAAAGCUCACCAAGCCGACGAUCUGUAGCUGGUUUGAGAGAACGACCAGCCACACUGGGACUGAGACACGGCCCAGACUCCUACGGGAGGCAGCAGUGGGGAAUUUUGGACAAUGGGCGAAAGCCUGAUCCAGCAAUGCCGCGUGCAGGAAGAAGGCCUUCGGGUUGUAAACUGCUUUUGUACGGAACGAAAAGGCUCUUUCUAAUAAAGAGGGCCCAUGACGGUACC
rnacentral:rRNA from 1 species